rnacentral:rRNA from 1 species
UACGAAGGGGGCUAGCGUUGUUCGGAUUUACUGGGCGUAAGGCGCCGGUAGGCGGUUCGUUAAGUCGGGGGUGAAAUCCUGGAGCUCAACUCCAGAACUGCCUUCGAUACUGGCGAUCUAGAGUCCGGAAGAGGUGAGUGGAACUCCUAGUGUAGAGGUGGAAUCCGUAGAUAUUAGGAAGAACACCAGUGGCGAAGGCGGCUCACUGGUCCGGUACUGACGCUGAGGUGCGAAAGCGUGGGGAGCAAACAGG